rnacentral:rRNA from 1 species
GACGAACGCUGGCGGCGUGCUUAACACAUGCAAGUCGAACGGUGAAGCCCUCGGGGUGGAUCAGUGGCGAACGGGUGAGUAACACGUGAGCAACCUGCCCCUGGCUCUGGGACAACCACUGGAAACGGUGGCUAAUACCGGAUACGACCCGCCUCGGCAUCGAGUGUGGGUGGAAAGUUUUUCGGCUGGGGAUGGGCUCGCGGCCUAUCAGCUUGUUGGUGAGGUGAAGGCUCACCAAGGCGACGACGGGUAGCCGGCCUGAGAGGGCGACCGGCCACACUGGGACUGAGACACGGCCCAGACUCCUACGGGAGGCAGCAGUGGGGAAUAUUGCACAAUGGGCGAAAGCCUGAUGCAGCGACGCCGCGUGAGGGAUGACGGCCUUCGGGUUGUAAACCUCUUUCAGCUCCGAAGAAGCGAAAGUGACGGUAGGAGCAGAAGAAGCACCGGCUAACUACGUG